UACGUAGGGUGCAAGCGUUAAUCGGAAUUACUGGGCGUAAAGCGUGCGCAGGCGGUUAUAUAAGACAGGUGUGAAAUCCCCGGGCUCAACCUGGGAAUGGCAAUGGAUACUGGCAGGCUAGAGUGCGGUAGAGGGUAGUGGAAUUCCCGGUGUAGCGGUGAAAUGCGUAGAGAUCCGGAGGAAGACCGGUGGCGAAGGCGGCCUGCUGGGCAGUUACUGACACUGAGGCGCGACAGCGUGGGGAGCAAACAGG
rnacentral:rRNA from 1 species